rnacentral:misc_RNA from 1 species
GUAGGUGAACCUGCGGAAGGAUCAUUAACACGUAUCCACGUUAAUAUCAACCACUAAGAACUGUGCUCCCUGGCCUCCGACUUCUGCGCUGUCCGUGAAGGUUGUAAUGGGUUGCAAUUGGCGCAUCUUCGCGAUAGUCUUUUGUAACAUACCUGCUCACCGGCUGUCACUCCGCUUGCGAGAGUGUGGCAAAGUAACUGGACGCUGGGCUUAUUUUACCCCAUCAAACUGCUCUCUCAACCAUUUUGAG